rnacentral:rRNA from 1 species
CUUAGAAGCAGCCAUCCUUUAAAGAAAGCGUAAUAGCUCACUAGUCGAGUCGGCCUGCGCGGAAGAUGUAACGGGGCUAAACGUAGAACCGAAGCUGCGGAUGCUAAUUUAUUAGCAUGGUAGAGGAGCGUUCUGUAAGCCGUUGAAGGUGAAUCGAGAGGUUUGCUGGAGGUAUCAGAAGUGCGAAUGCUGACAUGAGUAACGACAAUGCGAGUGAAAAACUCGCACGCCGAAAGACCAAGGGUUCCUGCGCAACGUUAAUCGACGCAGGGUGAGUCGGUCCCUAAGGCGAGGCUGAAGAGCGUAGUCGAUGGGAAACGGGUUAAUAUUCCCGUACUUCUAGUUACUGCGAUGGGGGGACGGAGAAGGCUAGGCCAGCAAGGCGUUGGUUGUCCUUGUUUAAGGUGGUAGGCAGAGAUCUUAGGUAAAUCCGGGAUCUUAAUGCCGAGAGCUGAUGACGAGCUUUCUUUUAGAAAGCGAAGUGGUUGAUGCCAUGCUUCCAGGAAAAGCCUCUAAGCUUCAGGUAACUAGGAACCGUACCCCAAACCGACACAGGUGGACAGGUAGAGAAUACCAAGGCGCUUGAGAGAACUCGGGUGAAGGAACUAGGCAAAAUGGCACCGUAACUUCGGGAGAAGGUGCGCCGGUGAGAGUGAAUGACUUGCUCAGUAAGCUCAUGCCGGUCGAAGAUACCAGGCCGCUGCGACUGUUUAUUAAAAACACAGCACUCUGCAAACACGAAAGUGGACGUAUAGGGUGUGACGCCUGCCCGGUGCCGGAAGGUUAAUUGAUGGGGUUAGCGCAAGCGAAGCUCUUGAUCGAAGCCCCGGUAAACGGCGGCCGUAACAAUAACGGUCCUAAGGUAGCG